rnacentral:rRNA from 1 species
AUGCAAGUCGAGCGAACAGACGAGGAGCUUGCUCCUCUGACGUUAGCGGCGGACGGGUGAGUAACACGUGGAUAACCUACCUAUAAGACUGGGAUAACUUCGGGAAACCGGAGCUAAUACCGGAUAAUAUAUUGAACCGCAUGGUUCAAUAGUGAAAGACGGUUUUGCUGUCACUUAUAGAUGGAUCCGCGCCGCAUUAGCUAGUUGGUAAGGUAACGGCUUACCAAGGCAACGAUGCGUAGCCGACCUGAGAGGGUGAUCGGCCACACUGGAACUGAGACACGGUCCAGACUCCUACGGGAGGCAGCAGUAGGGAAUCUUCCGCAAUGGGCGAAAGCCUGACGGAGCAACGCCGCGUGAGUGAUGAAGGUCUUCGGAUCGUAAAACUCUGUUAUUAGGGAAGAACAAAUGUGUAAGUAACUAUGCACGUCUUGACGGUACCUAAUCAGAAAGCCACGGCUAACUACGUGCCAGCAGCCGCGGUAAUACGUAGGUGGCAAGCGUUAUCCGGAAUUAUUGGGCGUAAAGCGCGCGUAGGCGGUUUUUUAAGUCUGAUGUGAAAGCCCACGGCUCAACCGUGGAGGGUCAUUGGAAACUGGAAAACUUGAGUGCAGAAGAGGAAAGUGGAAUUCCAUGUGUAGCGGUGAAAUGCGCAGAGAUAUGGAGGAACACCAGUGGCGAAGNCGACUUUCUGGUCUGUAACUGACGCUGAUGUGCGAAAGCGUGGGGAUCAAACAGGAUUAGAUACCCUGGUAGUCCACGCCNUAAACGAUGAGUGCUAAGUGUUAGGGGGUUUCCGCCCCUU